rnacentral:rRNA from 1 species
CGGGGGGUGCGAGCGUUGUCCGGAAUCACUGGGCGUAAAGGGCGCGUAGGUGGCGUGAUAAGGGUGUGGUGAAAGCCCGGGGCUCAACCCCGGGUCGGCCAUGCCGACUGUCAGGCUCGAGUGCUGUAGGGGCAGGCGGAAUUCCGGGUGUAGCGGUGGAAUGCGUAGAGAUCCGGAGGAAGACCGGUGGCGAAGGCGGCCUGCUGGGCAGUUACUGACACUGAGUGCGCGACAGCGUGGGGAGCAAACAGGAUUAGACACCCUGGUAGUCCACGCCGUAAACGAUGGGUACUAGGUGCCUGGGGGAGCGACCCCCUGGGUGCCGGCGCUAACGCAGGAAGUACCCCGCCUGGGGAGUACGGCCGCAAGGCUG